rnacentral:rRNA from 1 species
UACGUAGGGUGCGAGCGUUAAUCGGAAUUACUGGGCGUAAAGGGUGCGCAGGCGGUUAUAUAAGACAGAUGUGAAAUCCCCGGGCUCAACCUGGGAACUGCGUUUGUGACUGUAUGACUAGAGUACGGUAGAGAGGGGUGGAAUUCCGCGUGUAGCAGUGAAAUGCGUAGAUAUCAGGAGGAAUACCGAUGGCGAAGGCAGGUCUCUGGGCUGACACUGACGCUCAUGCACGAAAGCGUGGGGAGCAAACAGG